rnacentral:tRNA from 1 species
AACGACUUUAGAAAUCGUGAGGGCCCA